CUAAAGUUUAAUUCUGGCUUGAAACUUGGGUUUAAUUUUGUCUUACAUGUAAGUUUUUGCGUGAAGGUUAUGUUUUAUUUAAAUAAUAUGUGGUUCUACUAAUGGUCGCAGUAGGGGGUUUUAAAUAUCGGUGUUAUCCGGAUUUAGUAAUUUUUAUUAAUAUUGACAAAAUUUGUGCCAGCAGUUGCGGUUAUACAAAUAAUAUUAUUCAAGUUUUUUGGAUUCAGUUAAUAUUGUUUUUUAAUUUUAUAUUAAGGUUUAUUUGGUGAAAUUUUAAAUUUUAUUGAGGUUGUUCUAGGUUAUUGAGGCUGGGAAAUUCUUUGACAGACUAGGAUUAGAUACCCUAUUAUAUUGAAUGUAAAUUUUUAUUCUUAGAUAGUAUUAGUUAUGUUCUUGAAACCUAAAGAUUUUGGCGGUACCCUAGUCUAUUCAGAGGAACCUGUCCUGUAAUCGAUGGUCCACGAUUUCAUUUACUUUCUCUUUUAGUUUGCAUAUCGUCGUAAUAGACUAUUUUAAAAGAAAUUUAAUGUUCGUGAAUUUUUUUAAGAAAUACAUCAGAUCAAGGUGCAGUAUAUGAGGUAGUAGAGAUGGGUUACAUUAAAUUUAUUUUGGGAUUAUUUUGCUCGGGCAUUAUCAUGAAUUUGGAUUUGAUAGUAAUUUUAAUUAAUUAAUUAAUUUGAUUUUGGCUCUAGGGUAUGCACAUAUCGCCCGUCGCUUUCACUCUAAAGUGAAAUAAGUCGUAACAUAGUAGGCCUACUGGAAGGUGGGCCUGGGUAGAC
rnacentral:ncRNA from 1 species